rnacentral:rRNA from 1 species
GACGGAGGAUGCAAGCGUUAUCCGGAAUGAUUGGGCGUAAAGCGUCCGCAGGUGGCAGUUCAAGUCUGCUGUCAAAGACCGGGGCUCAACCUCGGAAAGGCAGUGGAAACUGAACAGCUAGAGUAUGGUAGGGGCAAAGGGAAUUCCUGGUGUAGCGGUGAAAUGCGUAGAGAUCAGGAAGAACAUCGGUGGCGAAGGCGCUUUGCUGGACCAUAACUGACACUCAGGGACGAAAGCGUGGGGAUCAAACAGG